GAAUUUUGGACAAUGGGUGAAACCCUGAUCCAGCCAUGCCGCUUGUGUGAAGAAGGUCUUCGGCUUGUAAAGCACUUUAAGCUGGGAGGAAGGGCUUUAGUCCAAUACCCUGAAGCUUUGACGUUACCUACAGAAUAAGCACCGGCUAACCCCGUGCCCGCAGCCGCGGUAAUACCGAGGGUGCAAGCGUUCAUCGGAAUUACUGGGCGUAAAGCGCGGGUAGGUGGUUCAGUACGAUGGGUGUGAAAGCCCCGGGCUUAACCUGGGAACUGCUUUCAUAACUGCUGAGCUAGAGUACGGUAGAGGGUAGUGGAAUUUCCUGUGUAGCGGUGAAAUGCGUAGAUAUAGGAAGGAACACCAGUGGCGAAGGCGACUACCUGGACUGAUACUGACACUGAGGUGCGAAAGCGUGGGGAGCAAACAGG
rnacentral:rRNA from 1 species